rnacentral:rRNA from 1 species
AUUGAACGCUGGCGGCAUGCCUAACACAUGCAAGUCGAACGGCAGCGCGGGGGCAACCCUGGCGGCGAGUGGCGGACGGGUGAGGAAUGCAUCGGAAUCUGCCUGGUUGUGGGGGGAUAACGUAGGGAAACUUACGCUAAUACCGCAUACGACCUACGGGUGAAAGUGGGGGACCGCAAGGCCUCACGCGAUCAGAGGAG